rnacentral:piRNA from 8 species
UGGUGGUUCAGUGGUAGAAUUCUCGCCU